CAAUGUUGUGGAGUCCCACAAUAGGACGAAACGGCCGUCCAGUGC
rfam:Schistosoma margrebowiei strain Zambia genome assembly, scaffold: SMRZ_scaffold0004417